rnacentral:rRNA from 1 species
UUGGAGGGCAAGUCUGGUGCCAGCAGCCGCGGUAAUUCCAGCUCCAAUAGCGUAUAUUAAAGUUGUUGCAGUUAAAAAGCUCGUAGUUGAAUUUCGAGAUCAAUAUGUCUGUCGUGCCUUCGGUACGUACGGGUAUAAUUGGUUUCUACCUUCUGAUGAACCUUGAUGCCAUUAAUUUGGUGUCUUGGGGACUCAGGACUGUUACCUUGAAAAAAUUAGAGCGUUUAAAGCAGGCAUACGCUUGAAUACAUUAGCAUGGAAUAAUGAAAUAGGACGUUCGAUUCUAUUUUGUUGGUUUCUAGGAUCGACGUAAUGAUUAAUAGGGAUAGUUGGGGGCAUUAGUAUUCAAUUGUCAGAGGUGAAAUUCUUGGAUUUAUUGAAGACUAACUACUGCGAAAGCAUUUGCCAAGGAUGUUUUCAUUAAUCAAGAACGAAAGUUAGGGGAUCGAAGACGAUCAGAUACCGUCGUAGUCUUAACCAUAAACUAUGCCGACUAGGGAUCGGAUGAUGUUAAUUUUUUAAUGACUCAUUCGGCGCCUUACGGGAAACCAAAGUGUUUGGGUUC